GUUGGAUUCUACUGUAGAAAACUAAAUUUCAACUGCACUUAUUUUAAUUUAAAAGAGAUGAUCUAAUUAUAACGCAACAGUCAAUUGAUUACUGUAUUUUUUUACUUUCAGUUGAUAUUCAGUUGGACGAGCCAUUAUGGAAAGUGCUAUUGUCUCCCAGUGAUGUUGCCAUUGAAGUCUUGACACUUUGUUCCCAACUCGAGCCUCUGUGUAAACGAAAGUACACU